rnacentral:rRNA from 1 species
GAUGAACGCUGGCGGCGUGCCUAAUACAUGCAAGUCGAGCGAACGGACGAGAAGCUUGCUUCUCUGAUGUUAGCGGCGGAUGGGUGAGUAACACGUGGAUAACCUACCUAUAAGACUGGGAUAAAUUCGGGAAACCGGAGCUAAAACCGGAUAAUAUUUUGAACCGCAUGGUUCAAAAGUGAAAGACGGUCUUGCUGUCACUUAUAGAUGGAUCCGCGCUGCAUUAGCUAGUUGGUAAGGUAACGGCUUACCAAGGCAACGAUGCAUAGCCGACCUGAGAGGGUGAUCGGCCACACUGGAACUGAGGCACGGUCCAGACUCCUACGGGAGGCAGCAGUAGGGAAUCUUCCGCAGUGGGCGAAAGCCUGACGGAGCAGCGCCGCGUGAGUGAUGAAGGUCUUCGGAUCGUAAAACUCUGUUAUUGGGGAAGAACAUAUGUGUAAGUAACUGUGCACAUCUUGACGGUACCUAAUCAGAAAGCCACGGCUAACUACGUG